UUGAUUUCAAUUCCCUCAAGCUUUUUUGUGAAUACAAUGAAGGCCUGUUCAGGGUUAUUGGAUUUGGAGGUUUCAUGCAGGUCCCCUUUGUAAGGGAAUCAGCUCCUCUUAAAAAUAUUAGCUUGGAGGAUGAAGCAAAAUGGCUCAGCAUUUGUUCAUUGGCUUUCAUGGUGUAAUAUAAUUAUUUCAUCAUGACAUCAAUGUGUCAUACAAUGCAUGGGAAAAUAUAGUCCCGGGAGACUUUUUGUAGCAUUCUCUGCUUUCUAGUUUUGUCAGGUCUAUCUGGCAAUUCAUGUAUUCCU
rnacentral:misc_RNA from 1 species